rnacentral:rRNA from 1 species
GUCCACGCCGUAACGAUGAAUACUAGGUGUCGGGCCGUAUAGGCUUCGGUGCCGCCGCAAACGCAGUAAGUAUUCCACCUGGGGAGUACGUUCGCAAGAAUGAAACUCAAAGGAAUUGACGGGACCCGCACAAGCGGUGGAGCAUGUGGUUUAAUUCGAAGCAACGCGAAGACCUUACCAGGUCUUGACAUCCUUCUGACCACUCCGUAAUGGGAGUCUUCCUUCGGGACAGAAGAGACAGGUGGUGCAUGGUUGUCGU